GUAUAGGAGCAGUUCCAUCGUUUACCCUGGGUAUAACGUACAUAGAAGAGAAUAGUAAAACCAGGAACUCUCCCUUCUACUUUGGUUGUACGUUUUGUUGCGCGGCGCUCGGUGUUGUUGUGGGCUACAUUGCAGGGGCACACUCGUUGUCCAUAUUUGUAGACGUGAAUAAAAUGGACAUAAGCAGCAUAUCUCUGAGUCCACUGAGCCCACAAUGGGUAGGAGCCUGGUGGAUCUGUAUUUUGGCGGGAAUGGGGGGGUUUAUAUUGGUUUUGUUUCCCAUAAUCGGAUAUCCCAGAAGACUUCCUGGUUAGGAAGAACUACAGAAAGAAAAAGUUUCAGAAGCUCAGACCAAUUCUGAGAAGGUCUACAAGGAAAAAGAAGAAUUUGGCAAAAGCAUAAAACAUCUUCCAAAAUCCCUCUUGCUACUUGCGAAGAAUCCUGCCUUCGUUUUCAUCCUCCUCGGGGGAACUGUUGAAAUCUUCAUCAUUGGCGGAUUAGCAACAUUUGGCGCGAAAUUGUUUCAAGUAUUUUUUAACGUAGAUAUAAUGGAGGCCGGAA